GGCUGGUCUGAGUGCAGUGGUGUUUACAACUAAUUGAUCACAACCAGUUACAGAUUCAUGUGUUCCUUCUCUACUCCCACUGCUUCACUUGACUAGCCUUAA
rnacentral:Y_RNA from 1 species